rnacentral:rRNA from 1 species
GAGGAUGCGAGCGUUAUCCGGAUUUAUUGGGUUUAAAGGGUGCGCAGGCGGACGGUGAAAGUCAGCGGUAAAAUAAUAGGGCUCAACCCUGUUGUGCCGUUGAAACUUCCCAUCUUGAGUGGGCGAGAAGUAUGCGGAAUGCGUGGUGUAGCGGUGAAAUGCAUAGAUAUCACGCAGAACUCCGAUUGCGAGGGCAGCAUACCGGCGCCCAACUGACGCUCAUGCACGAAAGCGUGGGGAUCAAA